GGUGAAAAGCACCCCGGAAGGGGAGUGAAAUAGAACCUGAAACCGUGUGCUUACAAGUAGUCAGAGCCCGUUAAUGGGUGAUGGCGUGCCUUUUGUAGAAUGAACCGGCGAGUUACGAUUUGAUGCAAGGUUAAGCAGUAAAUGUGGAGCCGUAGCGAAAGCGAGUCUGAAUAGGGCGUUUAGUAUUUGGUCGUAGACCCGAAACCAGGUGAUCUACCCUUGGUCAGGUUGAAGUUCAGGUAACACUGAAUGGAGGACCGAACCGACUUACGUUGAAAAGUGAGCGGAUGAACUGAGGGUAGCGGAGAAAUUCCAAUCGAACCUGGAGAUAGCUGGUUCUCUCCGAAAUAGCUUUAGGGCUAGCCUCAAGUGAUGAUUAUUGGAGGUAGAGCACUGUUUGGACGAGGGGCCCCUCUCGGGUUACCGAAUUCAGACAAACUCCGAAUGCCAAUUAAUUUAACUUGGGAGUCAGAACAUGGGUGAUAAGGUCCGUGUUCGAAAGGGAAACAGCCCAGACCACCAGCUAAGGUCCCAAAAUAUAUGUUAAGUGGAAAAGGAUGUGGCGUUGCCCAGACAACUAGGAUGUUGGCUUAGAAGCAGCCAUCAUUUAAAGAGUGCGUAAUAGCUCACUAGUCGAGUGACACUGCGCCGAAAAUGUACCGGGGCUAAACAUAUUACCGAAGCUGUGGAUUGUCCUUUGGACAAUGGUAGGAGAGCGUUCUAAGGGCGUUGAAGCAUGAUCGUAAGGACAUGUGGAGCGCUUAGAAGUGAGAAUGCCGGUGUGAGUAGCGAAAGACGGGUGAGAAUCCCGUCCACCGAUUGACUAAGGUUUCCAGAGGAAGGCUCGUCCGCUCUGGGUUAGUCGGGUCCUAAGCUGAGGCCGACAGGCGUAGGCGAUGGAUAACAGGUUGAUAUUCCUGUACCACCUAUAAUCGUUUUAAUCGA
rnacentral:rRNA from 1 species